CUCUGCCUUCCCGCUCCGAAAUCCGAACACGUAAGCUGGUCCUUCCCUGUAUCUACUGGUAGAGGAGAGCGCGAGACCAGGCGACCAAGAGACACAGUAAUUCAGAUCCGAUCUUUAAAGGAAAAGAAUAGGUUUGGCAUUAGCUACAUUUGAAGACUACUUCAAAGCUUGUCCUCACUGAAGGCUCCUGCUAGCCUUCAGCUGCCACCAUGAAGAAGCUCAAGACACCCCCAUGGAGAACUGAAGCCCCACAUGACCUCAGGCCCUAGCUGAACUUCCAGAUAGCACCUACCAACAAUUUUCAACCUUGGGUGUGAGGACAUUUGGACCUUCUUUCUUCUACACCUCGGAGAAUGGAGUCCUCAACGUGUAGUCCGUGAGUGUGAUUGGGGAAAACAGGCCACUUUUCUGGCUUCAGUUACACACAGGGCACUGUUGGACCAGCCCUGGCAAGGUGGAAUGAGCCGACCUCUGCAGAUUGUUUAUUCACUUCCAAGGCCUACUGUCUUAGGCAGACUGACUUCUUGGUCCAGCAACAAAAGCUUUUCCACUUACGGGAGAAGACCUAAACCCAACACGCAGAUAGAGGCCUCCCGGAGGCCCUGAUACCCCCGUGGGCUCCGCUCUCUGUACCGUCUCUGACGUCACUGCCCCGCUGCACUCCCGUAGCAGAAUGGUUCCUGGAAGCCUUCCAGAAGAAACCUCCCUAAGGUGCCUUUUCAAGCUGCUGUGAGCGCUUUGAGUUCAAAUUAACUCCUGAGCCAUGCUCAAACCUGACCACAUUUGACUAUGAGGAUAAGGGUGACCCAGCAUCUGCAGUUUCCUGAAGAAUGCCUACAGAUGUUGUCCAUACUCGUGAAGCAGAUUAGCUGUUGUCAUAGACAAAUACAGCUGUAACUAAUUGUCCCAGGCAGGGCCUCUGAAACCAAGGACUGAACUGCAUUAUUUGAUUGGACUGAGAAUCUAGGGUGGGAGUAAAAGGCCAGGUUGAUUGCUGUUUUAACCUGUACUGCCUGACUAAUAUGUGUCUUGCACGGUAUGGCCCAACAAUUGUAAACACUUUGCUUCCACUGGAACCGUAGGUACCCUCUGGGAUUGUACUUUUUGUGUUUGUGCCCCGACUAUCCUAACCCUAGAAGUCUUUCAGGUCAGAUUCAAGUUACUGGCCAGAAUUGUGCUGUGCCUGGAUUAAUGCUUUGGGCCAGGUGAAAGGAAGGUUAAUAUAAAAACUUUAGGCCACCUGGAUUUCUCAGCGCUAUUUAUCUGGUUAAUUGGAUUUGUUUGAACUGGGUAAAUAAACGAUCUGUAAGAGGCAAAACUGAGAUCAGUUCUGCAAGUUGGACUGUGCAUGAGCGAGAUCCUGUCUCUGCAAAAAAUAGAAAAAUUAUCUGGGCAUGGUGGCACACACCUAUAGUUCCAGCUACUCCAGAGGUUGAGGCAGGAGGAUCGCCUGAGCCCAGGAGUUUGAAGUUGCAGUGAGUUGUGAUGACAUCACUGCACUCCAGUCUGGGCAAUAAGGCAAGACUUGGUCUCAGAGAAAAAGAAAAAGAAAAAGAAAAAUAGUGCAGGUUGCUCUCACCCUACUGCAUGGGGUCCUAUUGAUAAUGCUUUUGUUGUAAAGAUGCCUUGGCCAAGAGGAUAGACUGUGCAGAAAAAGAGUUUACAUGGCAGGUCUGAACCUGCUUGUCCUUGGAAAGUCCUGCUUAUAGACUGGGCUUUUGACUGAUAUCUGGGAACUAGAAUUUAGAGAGAGUUCCUCCCCUUCCCAGAAUUGAUAAGAGUGGCUCAUUGUGCCUAAACUGUUUGUAUAAACAAUUUGGUUUAUGUUGAACACCUGCUUUCCUUCUGGGAGUCUGGAAUUUUGGCAUGUUCAAGGCAGCGGGUGGUUAGCCAGUGCCAAAAACACUAAGUCUCUCAUGAGCUUCCCUGGUAGAGAGCAUUUCACACAUUGUCACAACUUGUUGGUGGGGGACUUAAGUAUGUCCUGUGUGAUUCCACUGGAGAAGUCUUAGAACCUCACGGCUGAUGUCCUCCACACUUUGCCCAUGUGCCUUUUCCCUUUGCUGGCUUUGUUUUGUAUCCUUUCACUGUAAUAAA